GAUGAACGCUAGCUACAGGCUUAACACAUGCAAGUCGAGGGGAAACGAUGAGAGAGCUUGCUCUCUUAGUCGUCGACCGGCGCACGGGUGAGUAACGCGUAUCCAACCUGCCUCUGACCAAGGGAUAACCCGUCGAAAGUCGGACUAAUACCUUAUGCAGUCGUCGGAAGUCAUCUGAUGACGACGAAAGAUUUCAUCGGUGAGAGAUGGGGAUGCGUCUGAUUAGCUUGUUGGCGGGGUAACGGCCCACCAAGGCGACGAUCAGUAGGGGUUCUGAGAGGAAGGUCCCCCACAUUGGAACUGAGACACGGUCCAAACUCCUACGGGAGGCAGCAGUGAGGAAGAUUGGUCAAUGGGCGUAAGCCUGAACCAGCCAAGUAGCGUGCAGGAUGACGGCCCUAUGGGUUGUAAACUGCUUUUAUGCGGGGAUAAAGUGAGGGACGUGUCCUUCAUUGCAGGUACCGCAUGAAUAAGAACCGGCUAAUUCCGUG
rnacentral:rRNA from 1 species